rnacentral:tRNA from 1 species
GGGCACUUAGCUCAGCUGGUUAGAGCGCUGCGCUCACAUCGCAGAGGUCAGAGGUUCGAGUCCUCCAGUGCCCACCA